GACCAUAGCAAGUCGGUCCCACCCCUUCCCAUCCCGAACAGGACCGUGAAACGACUUUGCGCCGAUGAUAGUGCUGCAACCAGUGUGAAAGUAGGUUAUCGUCAGGC
rnacentral:rRNA from 2 species